rnacentral:rRNA from 1 species
UACAGAGGGUGCAAGCGUUAAUCGGAAUUACUGGGCGUAAAGCGUGCGUAGACGGUUAUGUAAGUCAGGUGUGAAAGCCCCGGGCUCAACCUGGGAAUUGCAUUCGAGACUGAAUAGCUAGGGUACGGUAGAGGGAAGGUGGAAUUUCCGGUGUAGCGGUGAAAUGCGUAGAUAUGUGGAGGAAUACCGGAUGGCGAAGGGCAGCCCCCUGGUCGAAG